UCCCGUUUCACAUACUCCUUGGACAAGACCCUCCCCCGGACAUACGCUGAACUGCUGGAGCGCUCGUACAAGUACAUGCGCACGGACGAAGGAGCUUCCGACCGGCGCCUGACUUAAGGCACGGGCCGAAAAGAAAAAUGGAAGAAAGGUCGGGCCCAUGCUAAACCCAGCAGGCCCUCCACCGAUAGACGGGUCUUGCCCCGACGAUGGAGUCCAAG
rnacentral:lncRNA from 1 species